rnacentral:rRNA from 1 species
CAGUAGCCGCGGUAAUACGAAGGGUGCAAGCGUUAAUCGGAAUUACUGGGCGUAAAGCGUGCGUAGGCGGUGAGUUAAGUCUGCUGUGAAAUCCCCGGGCUCAACCUGGGAAUGGCAAUGGAUACUGGCAAGCUAGAGUGUGUCAGAGGAUGGUGGAAUUCCCGGUGUAGCGGUGAAAUGCGUAGAGAUCGGGAGGAACAUCAGUGGCGAAGGCGGCCAUCUGGGACAACACUGACGCUGAGGCACGAAAGCGUGGGGAGCAAACAGGAUUAGAUACCCGAGUAGUCCCUGUCUCUUAUAC